GUAGAAUUAUCAAGCUCACUUGAAGAUUUCUACAAGCACCAAGCAGAGCCAAGCUGUGAGGAAGCAGAAUGUUGGCUGGAUAUUCAUAAAAUGGCUGUAAGUUCCAUGAGAUGAGAAACUGCAUCAGUUUUUGUCCAUCAUUGCCUCCCUAGUACUUUGCACAUGGUGGCUCCUGAAGAGAAAGUGUUCAUGAGAGCAUUCAACAAAUUGAAGAGGGGCGGAGAAAAAGGGAGACACACAAUCUGAAGCAGGGUCCAGGCUCUGAACUGUCAGCAGAGCCUGAUACAAGACUUGAACCCACGAACCACAGGAUCAUGACCUGAGCCAAAGUCAAACCCUUAACAGACUGAGCCACCCAGGUGUCCCUUGCUAUUAUUUUCUAAGUAGGCUUUAGCCUACAUCUUGUAUCAUUUUUGA